rnacentral:rRNA from 1 species
GAUGAACGCUGGCGGCGUGCCUAAUACAUGCAAGUCGAGCGAACGGACGAGAAGCUUGCUUCUCUGAUGUUAGCGGCGGACGGGUGAGUAACACGUGGAUAACCUACCUAUAAGACUGGGAUAACUUCGGGAAACCGGAGCUAAUACCGGAUGAUAUUUUGAACCGCAUGGUUCAAAAGUGAAAGACGGUCUUGCUGUCACUUAUAGAUGGAUCCGCGCUGCAUUAGCUAGUUGGUAAGGUAACGGCUUACCAAGGCAACGAUGCAUAGCCGACCUGAGAGGGUGAUCGGCCACACUGGAACUGAGACACGGUCCAGACUCCUACGGGAGGCAGCAGUAGGGAAUCUUCCGCAAUGGGCGAAAGCCUGACGGAGCAACGCCGCGUGAGUGAUGAAGGUCUUCGGAUCGUAAAACUCUGUUAUUAGGGAAGAACAUAUGUGUAAGUAACUGUGCACAUCUUGACGGUACCUAAUCAGAAAGCCACGGCUAACUACGUGCCAGCAGCCGCGGUAAUACGUAGGUGGCAAGCGUUAUCCGGAAUUAUUGGGCGUAAAGCGCGCGUAGGCGGUUUUUUAAGUCUGAUGUGAAAGCCCACGGCUCAACCGUGGAGGGUCAUUGGAAACUGGAAAACUUGAGUGCAGAAGAGGAAAGUGGAAUUCCAUGUGCAGCGGUGAAAUGCGCAGAGAUAUGGAGGAACACCAGUGGCGAAGGCGACUUUCUGGUCUGUAACUGACGCUGAUGUGCGAAAGCGUGGGGAUCAAACAGGAUUAGAUACCCUGGUAGUCCACGCCGUAAACGAUGAGUGCUAAGUGUUAGGGGGUUUCCGCCCCUUAGUGCUGCAGCUAACGCAUUAAGCACUCCGCCUGGGGGGUACGACCGCAAGGUUGAAACUCAAAGGAAUUGACGGGGACCCGCACAAGCGGUGGAGCAUGUGGUUUAAUUCGAAGCAACGCGAAGAACCUUACCAAAUCUUGACAUCCUUUGACAACUCUAGAGAUAGAGCCUUCCCCUUCGGGGGACAAAGUGACAGGUGGUGCAUGGUUGUCGUCAGCUCGUGUCGUGAGAUGUUGGGUUAAGUCCCGCAACGAGCGCAACCCUUAAGCUUAGUUGCCAUCAUUAAGUUGGGCACUCUAAGUUGACUGCCGGUGACAAACCGGGGGAAGGUGGGGAUGACGUCAAAUCAUCAUGCCCCUUAUGAUUUGGGCUACACACGUGCUACAAUGGACAAUACAAAGGGCAGCGAAACCGCGAGGUCAAGCAAAUCCCAUAAAGUUGUUCUCAGUUCGGAUUGUAGUCUGCAACUCGACUACAUGAAGCUGGAAUCGCUAGUAAUCGUAGAUCAGCAUGCUACGGUGAAUACGUUCCCGGGUCU